UUGUUGUUGUUGUAGGUGGUCUAGCUGUUGUUGGUUUAUGUGUUGUUGUCAGCUUAACUGUUGUUUUUGUUGUUGGUCUAGCUGUUGUUGUUGGUUUAAGUGUUGUUGUGGUUGGUUUAGGAGUUGUAGUUGUUGGUUUAUGUGUUGUUGUUGUGUUGUGUGGGUUUAGGUGUUGUCGUGGUUGGUUUAGGAGUUGUAGUUGUUAGUUUAUGUGUUGUUGGUUUAGGUGUUGUUGUUGGUCUAGCUGUUGUUGUUGGUUUAGCUGUUGUUGUUGUUUAUGUGUUGUUGUUAGUUUAACUGUUGUUUUUGUUGUUGGUUUACGUGUUGUUGUUGUUGUUGUUGGUUUAGGUGUUGUAAUUGUUGGUUUAGGUGUUGUUGUUGUUGGUUUAUGUGUUGUUGUUGGUUUAUGUGUUGUUGUUGGUCUAGCUGUUGUUGUUAUUAUUGGUUGACCUGCUGUUGUAUGGACUGUAAAACAAUC
rnacentral:lncRNA from 1 species